AGCGAACGCUGGCGGCAGGCUUAACACAUGCAAGUCGAACGCCAUCUUCGGAUGGAGUGGCAGACGGGUGAGUAACGCGUGGGAACGUACCCUUUGGUUCGGAAUAUUCUCGGGAAACUGGGAGCAAUACCGGAUAAGCCCUACGGGGGAAGAUUAUCGCCAAAGGAGCGGCCCGCGUCAGAUUAGGUAGUUGGUGGGGUAAAGGCCUACCAAGCCUACGAUCUGUAGCUGGUCUGAGAGGAUGAUCAGCCACACUGGGACUGAGACACGGCCCAGACUCCUACGGGAGGCAGCAGUGGGGAAUCUUGGACAAUGGGCGCAAGCCUGAUCCAGCCAUGCCGCGUGGAUGAUGAAGGCCUUAGGGUUGUAAAAUCCUUUCAACGGGGGACGAUAAUGACGGUACCCGUAGAAGAAGCCCCGGCUAACUUCGUG
rnacentral:rRNA from 1 species